GACAGAAUCCUCAAGCGUUACCCGGAUUUAUUGGGCGUAAAGGGUGCGUAGGUGGUUUGGUAAGUUAGGAGUUAAAGCUUCUCGGCUCAACCUUGAAGAUGCUUGUAAUACUGCCAGACUUGAGGGCGUUAGGGGUUAGCGGAACCGACGGAGUAGGGGUGAAAUCCGUUGAUAUCGUCGGGAACACCAAAAGCGAAGGCAGCUAACUAGGAUGACCCUGACACUGAGGCACGAAAGCGUGGGGA
rnacentral:rRNA from 1 species